GGAAGCCUGGGAAGGUAAUUGGCAAAGUUGCUGGGUUAGUGUCUGACUGUUUGCCGAAGAGCAUGGGUAGAAACAAGCCGUGUCUGCACAUGGACAGCCACAGGGAGUCAGGCUGCCGCAUCUAAAAUCUCGGGUUCUCAAAAUGAGAUGUUUGGAUGUUCUGUAUACAGAUGCACAGAGACACAUUCGGGAGAUCAAGUCUUUUAAAAAUGAUGGUCAUUCCCAGCGGGGAACCUGGAAUAUGGAGGCAAUCCAGCAAGAACAAAGGGAAUUCCUUUUUGAGUAGAGUCCAGAGGGGAACCCUCUAGAGUUUACCAGAUGGAUGGAAGCUCGAAGCCUAAUUUAAGGGAUUCGUGCAUCUGCUGUGCUCCUAAAGCAGGUUUUGAACUCAUGACCCAAUUGCAGUGCUCUUCAGAGGAUGUGCCCAAAUAAACCUUUGUGAGGAAUUCACCAGCUGUCACUGCUUGCAGCACUGAAGACUAGGACACAAAAUAGAAAAGGGAAAAGCAAGUGUUGGAGAGACACUUGCUCGGAUAUGUGAGGCCUGGGUUCCAUUCCUAGCACAAAGCAGUAGACAGCAGGAAAAGUCAUGAUGCUGUACCUGCUUACACCCUGCUUACAUGGAGAUCACCAAGGCAAGAAUUGCAGAAUAGCCUCCAAAUUUCUGGCGCCUUCCUCGGGAUGUUAAGAGUGGAUCAGACAUUCAAUUCUGGUCUUGUUUCAGACCUGACCAAAACACUGAAUUCUGACUCACCUCUCUCAAAGAGCCAAUGGGAAGAGCAUUGGAACUUGAACGAUAGGUACAAUGCCAAAGA